UUAACUCAGCAGGUUGGUCGAGGUUUUGCAGGGCUUGCAUCAUGGUUUUGCUUCUCCCUCUGCCUUUCCCUUCACAGGUAACAGCUUGCACUCUGAGCUUCAUCUCAACAUCUGCUUCUGGAGGACUCCGCCUCUGAUUUAUGAGAAAUGAAGUCUUGCCACCCGAAUUACUGAAGACUACAUAAAUCAUUAAUGGAAGAAGGAGGACUUGAGUCCAGAAAUGUCUUAUUCCAAAACCUUUUGUGGGCAGCAAGGAAAAGAUAUACAUAUACACAUAGGAAUGGAUGAGUUUGUUUCUAAGAAAGAAGCUAGAAAGGAUGAAGUCAUGAAGAGUAAGAAAGAAUGAGGCACGUAGAAAAGGUCGCCUUAGCAUCAUGCUGUCUGUUUAAAUAUUGAAAAGACAAAGUCAGCAUGACUCCACACACGUACACACACAUACAUACAGCCAAUCACUAAAAAGAACUGUAGUUACUGGGUGAAUAUAGGAAGGAAUGAACGAGUAACCUUGGCAUAUACAUAUACAUAUAAAAAAGGACAAAUCAAUAUAUGUUAAACAAAACUUCGCAUUGUGGUAUUUUCCUGUGGCUAUUACAGAAAGUUACCAUAACUUUGGUAACUUAAAAUAACACAGAUUCAUUCUCUCACGGUUCUAGAGCCUAGAGGUCUGAAAUCAAUGUGUGGGCAGGACUGUACUCCUUCCAGAGGUUUGGGGAGAAUCCAUUUCUUGAGUCUUCUAGCUUCUGGUGGCUGCCAGCAUUCAUUAGCAUUCUUUGGGUUAUGGCUACAUCCCUUCAAUCUCUGCUUCUGUCUUCACAUCAUGUUCUCUGUAUGUCAAAUCUCCCUCUCCCUCUCUCGUAUAAGGAUACAUGUAAGAGCAUUUAGAGCUCACCCAGAAAAUCUAAAAUAAUUUCCCAGGCCAGGAAAGGAGAGGACACAGAUAAGGAGAAAAGAAAUAUCCAAUUUUCUGGCAAUAUAUACACCAGGCUCAAAUGAAAUGGCCUUUAGAACUUUCUAGAAUUCUGUGGCUAAGGAAAUCCUGGUCUUCAAGGUUCUAGCUCCAUCAUAAAUGUGCUUACCACUACCUUUUCUCUAGACUUCUCAAAUUCACCUUUCAUCAUUUUUAUGCU